GUCAGUUUGCUGAGGAUGACGUGAUGAUUGGGUUUUCAUGCCAUUCUGUGAGAUGUGCCUUUCUCAGACCUUGCUAAAACAGUGGCACAUUACCUUUCUGAUA
ensembl:snoRNA